GAUCAUGGCUCAGGAUGAACGCUAGCUACAGGCUUAACACAUGCAAGUCGAGGGGCAGCAUGUCGGUUGCUUGCAACCGAUGAUGGCGACCGGCGCACGGGUGAGUAACGCGUAUCCAACCUACCCUUGUCCAUCGGAUAACCCGUCGAAAGGCGGCCUAACACGAUAUGCGGUUCUCAGCAGGCAUCUAACGANAACGAAAUGUGAAGGAGAAGGAUGGGGAUGCGU
rnacentral:rRNA from 1 species